AUGAAAAAUAAGGAUACACACAAAGAUGAAAACCUUUCUGUAAAAAAUAGUGAAACAAUUUCAACUGUUGUACACGAAUCGCAAACUACAAGAAAGGAGAAAAAAUUAACUACAAAACAAGAUAAUUUAUGUGAGAAAAUCAUAGAAACAAAAGAAUUAGUUGAAAAUCAUGACCUAUGUAAAAAAAAAGAAUACAUCAUAAAUUCAAAAGAUGUAGAAGCAACAAAUAACCAUAAAAAAGAAGAAAAAGAUAUGUUUAUUGCAAGUAGUAUAAAUAAUGAAAAGAUACCAAAUAGCCUAAAUGUGACGAACGUAGAUAAUUUAAGCACACGCGUGAGUAAUGAACAUAAUUAUAAAAAUAGUGACAAAAGCAGUGCUGAUGUAGAACUAACAAAUACAAUAACAGACACUAGUGAAGAUUUUAUGCAAGAGUUACUUAUGUUAGAGAGUCAAGAAAACAUAAAUGAUAAAAUAAAUAGUUUAUUUUGUAGUUAUGAUUUGGAUUAUAAAUCGCAUUUUGCUGCUGAACAGACAGAAGAUGAAUUUUUAAAAGACAUAUACAAAGAAAUAAAUAAUUUACAAAAUAAUGAAAACAGUUUGUAUUUUUUAAAAAAUUUAAAGAGUAGUCGUAAUUUAUAUGAACCUUAUUAUGGUCUACCGGGAGGACAAAAAGGCACAGGAGAAGAAGAAAAAAAUAAAAAUAAAAAUAAAAGAAUGAAUAAAAAAAUGAAUAACAUAUUAGAGGUAAAUAUGCUAAAAAAGAGUAUUCAACAAAAUAAUAAUUAUAAUAAAAUAGUUAAAAGUUUAUUUUUACAAAAAAAAAAAAAAAAUAACUAUUUUUUAGACAUAUUAAAUAAAGGUCAUACUUUUAUUAAGCUCAAAAAAAGAAAAAAAAAAAAAAAAUUUAGAACUAAAUAUUAUCAAAAAGUAUAUAACAUAUAUUUAUUUGACCAAUACAACGAACAGAAAAAAAAAACAAAUAAAAAAAUAUAUUACAUAUUCAAAUAUAAUUAUGGAAAUACUAAAAUUCAGUCAGUCUCUGGUUUUAUCAGAUGUUUUCGAAAAUAUAGUUAUUAUGUAGAGAAAAGUAAAAAUUUGAAAAAGAAAGAAAAGGAAAAUUGUACGGAUUAUACGAGUGGAUAUGUAACAGAUAACAAUAGGAAUGUAGGCGACUCAAACAACUGCAUGGUAAAUCCAUCAAUUGAAACACAUAACUUUGAAAAAGAAAAAUGCUUAACCAUUAGAAAUGGUAUAUAUAAAAAGAAUAUGAUACAAACAAAUUCCCAGCUGGAUAUAUCUAUAUCUAUCUUAUUAUGUGUUAAUGUAUCUAACUGUGUAUCUCCAUCCGAUUUUCUAGAAAUGCUAUACCCUUUUGACAAUUUUAUAUUUUUUUUAAAAGUGUUAAAUAAAAAAAGUAAUGAAGAAUACAUGAUAUAUUUUUUAACUUUUAAUGUUUAUAUUAAAAAAAUAUUAAAAAAAGCAAAAAGUAUAAGUUUUUUUAAUUUGAAAAAAAAAAAGAAAAUGAAAAUAUUUAUCGUAAAGGACAUUACCAUGGAUGUAGUUUCUUGUUUUGAUAAAAAAAGCAACUCUUUAAGAAAUACAAAUAAGUUUUAUAAUAAAGAAAAAAGAAAAAAAUAUGAACAAUCUUUUCAAAGAAAGAAAAAAAAAAAUACAAUCAAUAAAAUGAUGUUUAUUAAUGCGUUGCACUUGGUAUCACAAAAUAAGCAACAUAUGUCUUGUGCUGUUUGUUUGGAACCAUUAUAUUCUGAACAAUUAAGUAACAUCAUUUCUUACAUUUUUAAUUUUUAUUUUGAAAAAAAAAAAAUGCAAAAAGUAGGUAUUAAAAAAAAAGAGCUAUCGCAAAUAGGACAGCAAACAAAAAAUACUGACUACAGCGAAAAUAAUACAACACUAGCAGUAACUAAUAAUAUACCUAUAAAACAUACAAACGGUAAUACAAAAAAUAAAGCUGGUCUUAUUUGUAAUACAGCUUCAGGUGAAGGUUGUAACGAUAGCAAUAAUAAUAAUGAUACUAAUAGUGGGGAAGAAAUCCCAACUUGUAAAAAAAAAAAUUAUUAUAACCUAAACACAACUGGUUAUAAAGCAAAUGAAUAUAACUACUAUUUAUCCGUUACACUUAUGCUCAAGUCCAUGAAAGAUAAAUAUAUUUCUGUUACGAUCAAAAAUAAAAAUAAUGCAUGUGCUGGUACUACUACUACUACUACUAAUAAUAUUUGUACUGAUACUUGUGGUGACACUGUUACCGAUACGGAUAAUGUUAAUAAUACCACAACUACUGCAAAUAACAAAACAUUUAAUAACGUUUGUGUUAAUAUAUUAUGUAGUCAUAUAUUUCAUUCACAUUGCUUAAAAAAAUGUUGUUUUACAUCAUGUCCUAUAUGUAGGUAUAAACAGUAUAAUAACCAAAUAGCUACUUGCGAUAUAUGUGAAAGAAAUAAAAAUCCCAAAAUAUGUUUAUUUUGUGGUUUUAUUGGUUGUUCUGUGGAUUAA
ensembl:lncRNA